UCGGGAAUAUUGCGCAAUGGAGGAAACUCUGACGCAGUGACGCCGCGUAUAGGACGAAGGUCUUCGGAUUGUAAACUAUUGUCGUUAGGGAAGAGAAAGGACAGUACCUAAGGAGGAAGCUCCGGCUAACUACGUGCCAGCAGCCGCGGUAAUACGUAGGGAGCGAGCGUUAUCCGGAUUUAUUGGGUGUAAAGGGUGCGUAGACGGGAAUAUAAGUUAGUUGUGAAAUCCCUCGGCUCAACUGAGGAACUGCAACUAAAACUGUAUUUCUUGAGUGCUGGAGAGGAAAGCGGAAUUCCUAGUGUAGCG
rnacentral:rRNA from 1 species